GAAAAAUUAGCGGAUGACUUGUGGCUGGGGGUGAAAGGCCAAUCAAACCGGGAGAUAGCUGGUUCUCCCCGAAAGCUAUUUAGGUAGCGCCUCGUGAAUUCAUCUCCGGGGGUAGAGCACUGUUUCGGCAAGGGGGUCAUCCCGACUUACCAACCCGAUGCAAACUGCGAAUACCGGAGAAUGUUAUCACGGGAGACACACGGCGGGUGCUAACGUCCGUCGUGAAGAGGGAAACAACCCAGACCGCCAGCUAAGGUCCCAAAGUCAUGGUUAAGUGGGAAACGAUGUGGGAAGGCCCAGACAGCCAGGAUGUUGGCUUAGAAGCAGCCAUCAUUUAAAGAAAGCGUAAUAGCUCACUGGUCGAGUCGGCCUGCGCGGAAGAUGUAACGGGGCUAAACCAUGCACCGAAGCUGCGGCAGCGACGCUGAUGCGUUGUUGGGUAGGGGAGCGUUCUGUAAGCCUGCGAAGGUGUGCUGUGAGGCAUGCUGGAGGUAUCAGAAGUGCGAAUGCUGACAUAAGUAACGAUAAAGCGGGUGAAAAGCCCGCUCGCCGGAAGACCAAGGGUUCCUGUCCAACGUUAAUCGGGGCAGGGUGAGUCGACCCCUAAGGCGAGGCCGAAAGGCGUAGUCGAUGGGAAACAGGUUAAUAUUCCUGUACUUGGUGUUACUGCGAAGGGGGGACGGAGAAGGCUAUGUUGGCCGGGCGACGGUUGUCCCGGUUUAAGCGUGUAGGCUGGUUUUCCAGGCAAAUCCGGAAAAUCAAGGCUGAGGCGUGAUGACGAGGCACUACGGUGCUGAAGCAACAAAUGCCCUGCUUCCAGGAAAAGCCUCUAAGCAUCAGGUAACAUCAAAUCGUACCCCAAACCGACACAGGUGGUCAGGUAGAGAAUACCAAGGCGCUUGAGAGAACUCGGGUGAAGGAACUAGGCAAAAUGGUGCCGUAACUUCGGGAGAAGGCACGCUGAUAUGUAGGUGAAGCGACUUGCUCGUGGAGCUGAAAUCAGUCGAAGAUACCAGCUGGCUGCAACUGUUUAUUAAAAACACAGCACUGUGCAAACACGAAAGUGGACGUAUACGGUGUGACGCCUGCCCGGUGCCGGAAGGUUAAUUGAUGGGGUCAGCGCAAGCGAAGCUCUUGAUCGAAGCCCCGGUAAACGGCGGCCGUAACUAUAACGGUCCUAAGGUAGCGAAAUUCCUUGUCGGGUAAGUUCCGACCUGCACGAAUGGCGUAAUGAUGGCCAGGCUGUCUCCACCCGAGACUCAGUGAAAUUGAACUCGCUGUGAAGAUGCAGUGUACCCGCGGCAAGACGGAAAGACCCCGUGAACCUUUACUAUAGCUUGACACUGAACAUUGAGCCUUGAUGUGUAGGAUAGGUGGGAGGCUUUGAAGUGUGGACGCCAGUCUGCAUGGAGCCGGCCUUGAAAUACCACCCUUUAAUGUUUGAUGUUCUAACGUGGACCCGUGAUCCGGGUUGCGGACAGUGUCUGGUGGGUAGUUUGACUGGGGCGGUCUCCUCCUAAAGAGUAACGGAGGAGCACGAAGGUUGGCUAAUCCUGGUCGGACAUCAGGAGGUUAGUGCAAUGGCAUAAGCCAGCUUGACUGCGAGCGUGACGGCGCGAGCAGGUGCGAAAGCAGGUCAUAGUGAUCCGGUGGUUCUGAAUGGAAGGGCCAUCGCUCAACGGAUAAAAGGUACUCCGGGGAUAACAGGCUGAUACCGCCCAAGAGUUCAUAUCGACGGCGGUGUUUGGCACCUCGAUGUCGGCUCAUCACAUCCUGGGGCUGAAGUAGGUCCCAAGGGUAUGGCUGUUCGCCAUUUAAAGUGGUACGCGAGCUGGGUUUAGAACGUCGUGAGACAGUUCGGUCCCUAUCUGCCGUGGGCGCUGGAGAACUGAGGGGGGCUGCUCCUAGUACGAGAGGACCGGAGUGGACGCAUCACUGGUGUUCGGGUUGUCAUGCCAAUGGCACUGCCCGGUAGCUAAAUGCGGAAGAGAUAAGUGCUGAAAGCAUCUAAGCACGAAACUUGCCCCGAGAUGAGUUCUCCCUGACUCCUUGAGAGUCCUGAAGGAACGUUGAAGACGACGACGUUGAUAGGCCGGGUGUGUAAGCGCAGCGAUGCGUUGAGCUAACCGGUACUAAUGAACCGUGAGG
rnacentral:rRNA from 1 species